CACGUAGGGGGCAAGCGUUGUCCGGAUUUAUUGGGCGUAAAGAGCGUGUAGGCGGCCAUGUAGGUCCGGUGUGAAAACUCGAGGCUUAACCUCGAGAUGUCAUCGGAAACCAUUUGGCUAGAGUCCGGAAGAGGAGAGUGGAAUUCCUGGUGUAGCGGUGAAAUGCGCAGAUAUCAGGAAGAACACCAAUGGCGAAAGCAGCUCUCUGGGACGGUACUGACGCUGAGACGCGAAAGCGUGGGGAGCGAACAGG
rnacentral:rRNA from 1 species